CUUUUUGAAGCACCAACAGAAAAAGGGGUUGGUGACUCUCGGAAACGUCUUGGGACCUACGUAUUUUCCUUUUCUGCUACUACUACGAUCCAUCUUCAGUUCUUGCUUCUCCAUUAAUCAAGUUUGGUAAAACUACCACGUCAUCCUCCUUCUCUUCUUCGUUGUUUGAUUCUUCCUGCUAUAAAUACAGUUUCGUUUCCAGAAUUAAUCUGUUCUUGCCUGACCACUGCCAAAAUUGAUAGUUUCGUCAACAUAGCUAUGUAAUGCCGUUUCGUUUUCUGAAUUAAGCUAUUCUUGGAAUUGAUUUGAGAAUAAACAAUUUUUAUUGGCUUCGGGGGUGAUGGUGCUGGUGGAUUCGAGAUGCUUCUUCUUUUUUUGUGUUCGUAUUUUAAUUCGAUUUCUGCUAGGGUUAAAUUCCAUUAAAUUUGAUCUUUGAUAACCCUAAAAUUAUUAGUUAUGCAUAAGCAGGAACAUCUCUGUACUUACCCCAAAAAAUUUCUCUAAAUUGGUACAGUUUCUCUUUCAAAGGUAAUUCCAAUUUGGGUUUUUUUGUUCGGAGAUACUUACAUUUUAUGUUUACUUUUUCUUUAUUUUCUGUGGACAGGUUAUUAUUUUGUUUGUAAGUGUUUGAUUGUAAUCUGUUGUUGAAUUGGAGCCGUGAUCGUUAGAAGCACUUGAAAUACAUCCUAUGGAGUCUGGCCAAAUUAAAAAGUAUGUUUUAUCAUGUAGGUUUCUUUGUUUGGUGAUGCCGAGGCUGUUUCAUCCUGAAGUAAUUUCAAGCCAAAGUGGAGUGCUUUCUUCCUGAUAAAAAAAUAGUUUUAUUGAUUUCAUCAAUGAGAAAGCAUCUGUUGUAGAAGAUUUUUUAUGAAUUCAUAUGAAGUCGGUGAGAUUUGUUGUGCUGCUAAACAAGUUUUUAUGCAGGAGCUUACAGUUAUAAUAUAGACUGAAAGAUCCUGUCGAAGUACUGUAUUUGGUGAUCUGUAGGAUAUUUCGAUGAUCAAUUGCGUUUGUAUGAUGACUAUGGAUUUCAUAGACUUGGGUAUUGUUUGCAGUUUUGAUUUUGGGUAUUUGAAUAAGAGAGUAGAUUUGGUUUCUUAGACUUACGUAUUUAUUUAUUUUUGGGGGUUUCUAUAUGUGUGCCGGCUUACCAGCUCUUGAAUUAUGAUGAACACUGUUGAAGUGGACCACCUAUAUUUUGAUUAUGUAUUUCUCCAUAAUACAUAUUCAAAGUUCAACCAAGAUAUAGAUUUCUGGAAUUUCUCUCCUUCUUCGUUUUUACGGUUGCUUUAUUUGGAAUUAGGUUCAAAGUUUCUCUGUUUAAUCACAAUGGAGGACAUUGUUGAUGGAGUGACUAACCUUAACAUUAACGAUUCACAAGAAUCGGAUUAUAGUCUCUAAUACUAAAAAACCCUUCUUCUUUUAUGCUGAUCUUGACAAACUACAUUCAAAACCCCUCUCUAUUGUGAGAUUAAACUGCACGGUGACUUUGUAUCCAUUUGGUUUGAAUCUUAAUGUAGAAUUUGGGAUCAAUUUUGGAUCAAUUUGUUACAGUUUUUUUUUUUAAUCAAAGCUAGGUUAGGAUUUGUUUUAUUGCAUCCUAUUAUUGUGUUAUUAUUCAAUUUUCUGGGUUCAAACGAUUGGAAAUCCAUGUAUGUAUUUACCUUUUCCAGAUGUACAUGCAACAACACAAAGCAGUGGAGCUUUCUGCUCUUGGAAUGAGUAACUAAUUCUCUACAUCUAUAUUUGUUUUGAUGUAAUGUGGAUCAACUUAUGUGGAGUAUUUUAUCAUUCAAAUCUCUUAAUAUAUGUGUUUCGUUUUGAAAGUAUACUUAAGAAUAUUACAUUUUAGCUCUGUUUAGAUGGUGCUUAUACCAGAGCUACAGUUGUUGCUGGCAGAUUAAUUACUUGGGUAUCAUAUGUUGAGAUUAUUUGCAAUCUAAUCUGUAAGCGUAAUCUAUACUAUAAUGAUCAACCGAAGCUGAGGGAUUAAUCUUAGAGAAUCCUAAAAAAGAUCGAAUAAAACAUCAACCCUUUUCCAUAAUCAAGGAUGAGUACAAUUCUUUGUGGGCUUAAGCUUUAGGUAUAUGCUGCACACACUUAGCUUGAUAACUAACAAAUGUGUGUCUUAGGGAAAAGAUGAUGAAUUGGACAAUGUAUUAGGAGAUUGGAUGCUUAUUCACACAAAUCCCAGUCAUGAUGCGGAUGCUCAAUUGCAAUAUUAAAUUUUUAAUUCCUUUUGUUUAUGUGCUUGCUUUGCCAAUGUUAUUUACUUUGGGAACAUUAUCUAUAUACCCCUAACUAGCAACCAUACUUAGUUUACUUUCAUUUUCUUUUGGAUCAUCGUUUGUUAGCAUUCCCAAGAGUUAAAUGAUCGUGUGACACCGUGCACAUUGUUCGUUUACUUUCUUUUGGAUUCACAGAUGGAUACAUGAUGAAGUAUAUUUGAUAUACAUGUUUGUUUUAUGUGGAAAAUUUACGCUUGUGGGAAAUUUUGGACAGUAGGUUGAAUCAUAAAUACGACGCAGAGGAAAAGAAGAAGAAGAUGUUUUAACCAAAGAUUACAACCUUGAUCUAAGAAUGUUGAGCUUGAGCAAUAGUGGGAUGAUAAGUGGUAGUUGCUGGUGCUAACCCUGUUCAAACUAUCGUGGUAAUUGUAUUAUAGUUCCAUCUUAGGGCCGAAGCAGGGAAAAGGAAGUUGAGCACGAACUCUGAUACCAGUGUAGUGAAUAUCCAGAAUAAACGUAUAUGGACAGACUGUUCACCACAAGUAUGAUACCGAAUGGUUGUUGGUAUCUUUCGAUAUUCUUGGUCAUUGCUAAGAACUUGGCUGAGCUAACCGGGGAAGGGGGUAAUAGCAAUAGUUAGAGGUGCUGGGUCGAUUGCAACUACGGAAAAAGUAUGUCAGGCAAACAAGAUGUUCCACGCGUCUACUAGAAGAGAGUAAUAACAAUCGCUGGGAGUGCCUACUCGAUGACAACUGUGGAGAAAGGAGGUCAGGCAAAACAUGAUGUGCCACAUGUCCACUACAGGGAGGAUUCUUCUAUAUACUAUGUGCCUACUUUGUUUAUGGUAUGGAAGGUGCGGAUUAAGUAUGUAGUUUCCUUGGCCUACACUUUUUCUCUCAUUUUUCUAGAACUUCAAAAUUUAAAAUUGUCAGGUUCUCCACUUCGUGAUAUAGCUUGAAGCUAGCUUGGUUUCGGGUUUUCUGGCUAAUCAUCUUCUAAUAAGUUGAUCUUGAUCUCGACAAUUAAAGUUGUGACCGAGUUCUGCAGGUUACUGUUGCUACUAUAGUUGCGGAAGAAAUUCUCGCAAUGUGUUGUUCUUAUUUUCUUAUAUCAUUAUGGAUUUUAUGGUUCUAAA